ACUUAAUUCAAUUUACUGUUUGGUAAGAAGAUACAUGCUGGACUAGAUGACCUCCAGGGUCCCUUCCAACUCUGUUACGUUACUUCAAGAGAGGCUGCUUAUCUUUUGUAGUCUGGUUAACAAUGAUGGUCCAUAUCUCAAAAUUCUGCCCUCUGCUGGAUGGAAUUAGAAAUGUUAAAUUAGAUUAUGAAUAUUUGUGAUUGGGAGCUGAGGGCUGACUGCUUUAAAGCAAGAGUUCAUGAUCUAUUUUGUUCUAGUCAAGUUUUCCUUAUAUACUGUUUCUUCUGUUUGCAUAUCUAAUACCUAUUUAGUUAUUGUCAGCUGUCUUUUCCCAUUACUUGUAUUAUGGAUCAUUUCCGCAGCACUUCAACAUUCUCCUUCUAUUUUCUCUAUAGUUUUCAUACAAGAAAUUUGUAAAAGAAAAUAUUUUUGAGAUGUAAUCUAUGAAAGGAAAGACAGCUCACUCAAUAUUAAACAUCGUUUGGUAUAGUUGAUGCAACAAUAGUCUCUGUGGCUGACUUGACCAGCCAUAUAAAUCUAUUUAAUAUAUAAAUCAAAAAAAUCAUUUAAAAAAUAACCAAAAAAUUCUCCAUAUUUGAGGCUUCUUGCAAGAGUGAUACCAUUUGACAAUCCAGAGAACCCCUAGACAUCAAUGUCUACUUGAUGACUGUCACCACUGCCCUGGUCCUUAUCUUGUAAUAAUCUGGUAGCCCUGGUAUUAUCACAGACAUGGAAGAGAUUGAGAUUUUCAAUGGCAAAUAGGUCAGCCUUCCCUCAUCCUGGUGGUACCAAGUGGAUCAAGCAAUAGCUUUGCUGGCCUAAGAAUUCAGGGACCUGAGACUGAGUCAUAUAGUCUGCAGGGCAUCCUCUUAGGAAAAAGCUGCAUCAGACCUAAAGAGCAUCCACUAACCCCUAUGGAAUGGUAGAGGGCUGUUCUCUUUUAUCAGUUUUGCUGAUGCUUUAUUAUUACAUGAAGGAACGGUAGCCGGUUUUGUUACUGGUAUCAGAUCACAUAAUUAACACACUGUGGUGUUUGAAUUGGCUUUUAAAGAGCACUCUUUGCAUUCUUGAUGCAAGAUUAGGAUGGUGAUUUUCCUGAGGUCUCAGCAUUUCUUUUCUUUACUGUCCUGCAUUUCCCCUUUUCCUCCAAGAAUGGGUAUAUAUAUCUAUCAGGUUAAUGUCUAUGGAGAUUCUCAGUCAUCCAGGUCAUGGUUGAGGACAUCUAAUGUUUCCUGUAUUUCCUGAAGCCAACUAUUAUCCACAGUUUUGCUCUUUUGGAUGCCACAAGCCUUUCACGCAAUAUAUACUAGCGAACAUUGAUUUGAUUUGAACAACACACUAAGCUACAAAGUAGAAAAUCAUUUCAGGGUUCGCUGCAGAGUCUAAACGUGUUUCUAUUAUUUUGACCGCAAGACUGUAAGAUUGUUCCUCAUCCGGAACCCGGUUUGGAAGUUAUCAGUGAGAACUUAGAAAAACUUCGGACCACGUCGAAAGUCCAUUCAGUUGGAAUUCGGUUCAAAUCGUAGGAACUUCCAAAAUCGCUUUUCGCCCUCGAUUUGUCGAAUCAUUUCUUCCCAUUUUAAUCUCUACUGCCGAAUCUUUUUUUUUUCCGCCUCAGCUUCACUUUUUUUUUGUUUAAAACAAACAACCAGCCCGAAUUCCCUGCUAUUCGAGACUCCUCGAGACCGGAGUCCUUUGACGUGACUCCCGGCGACCGUUAUUAAAGCCUGGAGGUUCAUAACUGGAUGGUUCGGCGUUUCGUCAGGCGUUGUUUCGAAUCCUAAUAACCUGUCCCUUGAAUCGGACGUGACCGAGGGGAGACAAACUUCGGACUCUCCUCCAAUGCACGCUUCACGUCAGGCCAAUGCCAAAGACCCGCCCGCUGGCCGGCAGGGGAUGGCAGGGGGCGGGGGGUUCUCCUGGGGUCCAGCCUCCUCCCUCGCUCAGAAAUUGGAAGGCUCCGGAGUCGUGGCUCACAUUUCCACUAAUCCUCCUCAGGAGACAGGAUUUGAGCGCGUGCCUCCGGAGCAAAGCCAGGGAAGCCCCGCCGAGCAGCGGGAAGAGCCUGCGGGCGGCCUCGCUCCGCGACCAAAGCUUCGCUCAAGGAGUCCGACAAACUCCCCGUCGAGGCCCCUUCAAUUCGGCGCCCGGCCGACUCCGCGCAGCUCUCCCCGGACGCGCGUUUUAUGGCGCUAGGACCCAGGCAGAGAGGAGCGAGUUCCGAAUGAGGCUGCGGCGGCCGUGUGAAAGUGAAUGGCUGGGGUGCGUCUGGAAAGCGGCCACGGAGCAAGGCGCGUUAGGAUCCCCGGCGGGCUGGGCAACGGCGCGUCCAGCGGCGGCAGCAGCCCCUAGGGGGUCUCUCUCCACCUGCCCUGCGGCCGCAGCGCUGAGGAUGUAUAAAAUGAAGGAAGGACAAGAACAUCCACUGGAAAAGAGGAAAGCCACCAUAUGAAGCAUCAUACUGAGAAGUGAAACAUCUUCAAAGAAAAAACCAGAAAGUCCAGUUGCCUCCUGUGAAAAAGCACCUUUGGGUUUGGGACAACCAUGACCUGGAUGACUGAGACUCUCCAUAAACAUUAAGAGAAAGGAAUUUUAAUUUUAAGGAAUAUUGUCUCGAUAAAAGAGAAAUCAGACAUUUUCAAGAACGAGGCCUACGAAACAGCCAAGUGUGCACCAUUUAUCAUUCUUGUAGUCAGAGAAAGCCACAAAUGAACACAUUCAGAGUCUGUACAAGAUAUUCCAAAGGACAAAACAUUCACCCAAACCAUCAUUCUUCAACCUGAAACGCAUUUCACUCCAUGCCAAAAUUGCUGGCUUAUUGCAUGCUUAUUACAGAACCAACCUGAGAACAUAAAGUGAACUGAUAGAAAAACAGGAGGAACAGAAAAUGUGGGUAUUUGCCAGUCAACAAACUGACGUGGCCUUUGUUGAAAUUAUCUGAGCUUGCUUCAUGACUUCUAAAAAGAACUUCCAAGACUUGCGUCUUCAUUUUAUAUAGUGAGGGAGGAAAACACCUGGUUUUUCCAUAAAUGUCUUGGCAAACCAGACAUUUAUAACUGUAUUCUUUAUCCUCAUUACUCUGAGUAUGACAGAAUAAUUUAAACAACCUCCUUUAUUCCAUAGUGCAGUGGUACAGCACAUGUGUUGUGAAUGCAGAAGGCUGAAAUUUCUAUCUCGGCCAUCUCCAGUUGAGGGAGGGGGAAAUCACAGAAGAAGUGAUGCAAAAGAGCUCUCCCCAGAAUAUGGGAUUGUUAUCAGUCAGAGUAGAUCAUAUGGGUUAGAGAUGGAUAAUGUUCUGAACAGUUUAAGAAAGCUGCCUUCCUUGUUUGUCUCCUGGAAAAUGUCUCUGGCAGUAGCUGGCAGUUCAAGUGAGUCUAAAACGCUUACAUGAAAGCCUCAUCUUCCAACUGGCAGACAAAGAAAAGAGUGAAUUAGAAACAGUUGCAAAGCACAGAUUUACAUCUGCCAUCAUAGGAAGGAGAGUGUGGUUGGAAAGCCAGUCCUGGGUUGGCUGCCUCCAGCUCAGGUCCACUUGCCUAUUAGUCUUACCAAUUGUAUUAGAAUCAUUUAUUUAAAAUGAAUUUGGAAUUAUGGUCCUUGAUCACAUCUGGUUUCAACCAUACAGCAAUUACAUGUUCCAGAAAGAGACAAGGAACAAAGGAAGAAAUCCAAGCAGCUACUUCAUGGCUGAAAUCCAUUCCAAGAACCCAUCAGAUCCAAGGAGGAAGCUCAAGUGCCAAUAUUAAAGAUGCCCUACUCUUGGAUGAAGUUGUGAUGGGAGCUCCAUCAACUUAACUUUAAUGUAAUAUUAUAAUGAUUUGAAUGGAUUGCAAGUUAAUGUAUUAAUUUACUGAAAUCUUCUUACAGUGGUUUUUUUAUUGGUGAUAAAUGAUAAAUGAUGAUAGUGGAUAUUUUAAGUGUUCUAGGUUAUUGUGAAAAUACUGGUCCUCUGAAUAGGGCCAUGUUCAUUAACAUGUUUUAGAGAAUACUAUGUUCUUAUAGGAGUGUAUGCACUAAUCUUCCCAAUCUGAUGGCCUCUGUAUAGCAAAGUAGAACUGCCAGCAGUUCAUCAAGUUAAAGAAUUUUGCAAUUCUGGAACUGUUAGUAUCAACAUAUCUAGAGGCCAAGGGUUUAGGAAGACUGGCAUAAACCAAGGAAACUUUGCAUUCAGGAGCUGCUGUGCCUGAAUGCAAACCCAAAGGUUUCUGCUGUAUAUCAUUCUGUAUAAUUUACGUAAUUCUAUUAUGAAGGGAGGGUAAAGGCCUUCUCUGUUACUACCCUUCCCUCUCAUGUGGAACCACGUUCCCCCUACUGUUUGGGUUCUCCCAACUUUUUUGAAAUUUUGGAAGGCCAUCAAGACUUAUCAGGAAAACUUUAAGGGAUGAAAGAAAUGCUUGUUUAUAUGGGAGAUUCUUUUUGGAGCACAUUAGAAUGUUAGUUAUUAAUAUUAUUACUCUGUAUUGUUUUGAACUUUUCAGCUACAACUAAAGUGCAAAGAAGUUUAAAUAAGCAUAUGAAAAAUUAACUUGCCCAUGGAUCAGGGUUUCAGUCUCAAAUUUAAGGAACAUAUCCUUCUGGUGGAUUUCCUUAUUCUUUUUUUUUUUUUUUUGUUUACAUUUAUACCCCGCCCUUCUCCAAAGACUCAGGGCGGC